rnacentral:rRNA from 1 species
UACGUAGGGGGCUAGCGUUGUCCGGAAUUAUUGGGCGUAAAGGGCUCGUAGGCGGUUUGUCGCGUCGGGAGUGAAAACACCGGGCUUAACUCGGUGCUUGCUUUCGAUACGGGCAGACUAGAGGCAUGCAGGGGAGAACGGAAUUCCUGGUGUAGCGGUGAAAUGCGCAGAUAUCAGGAGGAACACCGGUGGCGAAGGCGGGUCUCUGGGCCGAUACUGACGCUGAGGAGCGAAAGCGUGGGGAGCGAACAGG